CUAGAGGGAAUGGAUUUAAGGACACACAGCAGGAGCUGGCUGAAUUUAUUUUAUUUUGACGGGGGUAGUUGGGGGAGGAAUAUCAUUUCUGAAAUGCACAAGGAAUGAAGGGAGAGGAUAUGGAUUGCUUAAACAGUUUUUGCAAGAGGAGCGGUGUCUUGUUCUGCAGGUUAGGCUUCUCAGUCCCUCUGGAGCUGCAUGAUGGAGGCAGUAAGCCAGAUAUCUAUUUCCCCUGGUGAGAGCCCCUGAUGGGUCCAGAAGAAUUUAUAAAAGAAGGCUAGGGGACAAGAACUAGGAAACAGAGAUAAGAGAUCCCAGUCAUCCUGGCUGAAGCCAUUCUAGAUCAGCCAGUACUGGCCAACCCUGCACAGGUAAGCAAACCUCACCUAGAUGAGCAAAGCACUCAGUCAACCAGCAGCUAACCUCAGAA
rnacentral:lncRNA from 1 species